rnacentral:sRNA from 1 species
CUAUAUUCUAUAAUAUUGAUAUUAAUCCGAAUUCCCUCUGAUAUAUUACCAUAUUCUCUUUUACAGCUUAAUCCUUGUAGAGUCUUAAGAACCUCUUGUGAUAUAAGCAGCUAAUUCUCACACCGCUGCUUAUAUGUAGAGUAUAUGAUACAACAUAUUUGAAAUUACUCUCUGAGAUAUUAGUGUUUCAUUGUAUGUACUGUACAUGUACAGUGGUGUUCAAUAAGUCAGUGUACUAGAGGCUCAGCACUGAGCUUCAGCACUUUAUCCAUCUCAACUAGAUAUUAAAUAAAAUCUCAACC